ACUCCUACGGGAGGCAGCAGUGGGGAAUAUUGCACAAUGGGCGCAAGCCUGAUGCAGCCAUGCCGCGUGUAUGAAGAAGGCCUUGGGUUGUAAAGUACUUUCAGCAGUGAGGAAGGUGGGUAUGUUAAUAGCAUACUCAUUUGACGUUAGCUGCAGAAGAAGCACCGGCUAACUCCGUGCCAGCAGCCGCGGUAAUACGGAGGGUGCGAGCGUUAAUCGGAAUUACUGGGCGUAAAGCGCAUGCAGGUGGUUUGUUAAGUCAGAUGUGAAAGCCCGGGGCUCAACCUCGGAAUUGCAUUUGAAACUGGCAAACUAGAGUACUGUAGAGGGGGUAGAAUUUCAGGUGUAGCGGUGAAAUGCGUAGAGAUCUGAAGGAUACCGGUGGCGAAGGCGGCCCCUGGACAGAUACUGACACUCAGAUGCGAAAGCGUGGGAGC
rnacentral:rRNA from 1 species